rnacentral:tRNA from 1 species
AAUAAAGUGCCUGAAUAAAGGAGUAUUCUGAUAGAAUAAAUUAUGUAAAAUUUUACCUUUAUUA